GUGACACUGAGCAGCUGAGUGUGUUCACAGCCAGUGCAGAUCAGUUCAGCUGCAGUAUGUCAGAGGAGCGAGGAACAGAGAUCUGUCUCUAUCAGAAACACAGGUGACACUGAGCAGCUGAGUGUGUUGACAGCCAGUGCAGAUCAGUUCAGCUGCAGUAUGUCAGAGGAGCAAGGAACAGAGAUCCGUCUCUCACAGAAACACAGGUGACACUGAGCAGCUGAGUGUGUUCUCAGCCAGUGCGGAUCAGUUCAGCUGCAGUAUGUCAGAGGAGCGAGGAACAGAGAUCCGUCUCUCACAGAAACACAGGUGACGCUGAGCAGCUGAGUGUGUUCACAGCCAGUGCGGAUCAGUUCAGCUGCAGUAUGUCAGAGGAGCGAGGAACAGAGAUCCGUCUCUCACAGAAACACAGGUGACGCUGAGCAGCUGAGUGUGUUCACAGCCAGUGCGGAUCAGUUCAGCUGCAGUAUGUCAGAGGAGCGAGGAACAGAGAUCCGUCUCUCACAGAAACACAGGUGACGCUGAGCAGCUGAGUGUGUUCACAGCCAGUGCGGAUCAGUUCAGCUGCAGUAUGUCAGAGGAGCGAGGAACAGAGAUCCGUCUCUCACAGAAACACAGGUGACACUGAGCAGCUGAGUGUGUUCUCAGCCAGUGCGGAUCAGUUCAGCUGCAGUAUGUCAGAGGAGCGAGGAACAGAGAUCCGUCUCUCACAGAAACACAGGUGACACUGAGCAGCUGAGUGUGUUCUCAGCCAGUGCGGAUCAGUUCAGCUGCAGUAUGUCAGAGGAGCGAGGAACAGAGAUCCGUCUCUCACAGAAACACAGGUGACACUGAGCAGCUGAGUGUGUUCUCAGCCAGUGCGGAUCAGUUCAGCUGCAGUAUGUCAGAGGAGCGAGGAACAGAGAUCCGUCUCUCACAGAAACACAGGUGACACUGAGCAGCUGAGUGUGUUCUCAGCCAGUGCAGAUCAGUUCAGCUGCAGUAUGUCAAAGGAGCGAGGAACAGAGAUCCGUCUCUCACAGAAACACAGGUCACACUGAGCAGCUGAGUGUGUUCACAGCCAGUGCGGAUCAGUUCAGCUGCAGUAUGUCAGAGGAGCGAGGAACAGAGAUCCGUCUCUAUCAGAAACACAGGUCACACUGAGCAGCUGAGUGUGUUCACAGCCAGUGCGGAUCAGUUCAACUGCAGUAUGUCAGAGGA